rnacentral:snRNA from 1 species
UUGCUUUGGCAGAAGGCAGCACAUAUACUAAAAUUGGACACACGGAGAAGAUUAGCAUGGACCCUGCACACGGAUGACAUGCAAAUUCAUGAAGUGUUCUGUAUUUUA